CACACACAGGGAUAGUGCCAUGUGACCACAUGGACAGGCAGCUGCAAGCCAGCAAAACCUGACUGCCAUCACUCUGCCAGAAGCUAGAAAAGGCAAGGAAGGAUCAUCUCUACAGGUUUCAGAGGGAGCAUAACCCAGCUCUUCCCUUGAUUUUGGACUUCCAGCCUGCAGAACUGUUAAACAAUACAUUUGUUUUAAGCCUCUGGGUGCUUUGUUAUAAGAGCUGAGGAACCUAACACAGGGCCCAAGACAGAGAAUCCACUCUUCCUUUUUCAUUAGGACUCUGAAAAGGGAACCAGGUUCCAGAUGACGCCCCUGAGCUUAUCUAAGGAAUGGCCAGGUCUACUAAACUGGGGAGUCAUCAAGUCCAGCAUCCCCAGAAGAUGCUCAAUCUUCACAUGACCCAGAUGGACGUGGGCAUUCCAGUAGCUUCUUUGAGAGUAUGGACGCCAUCUUGUACUUUUAAUUCUGGUAACAAUAUGCAGUUUACGAUGGUGCUGUGGAUCCCCACCAUAUUUUCCAUGAUCAGCCGCUGAAGGUUGAAGUACUCUCUCUGGUAUUCUUGACCUGGUAAAUUUGUGACGAAUCCAGUCUGUACAAAUGAGAGACUCCACACCUUUUGUCACAGUCAGUGGCUGCUAAAACGUCCAGCUUGAAUUUUCCUACCGAGAGGAAGUUGAGCAGAGGAAGAAACACCCAGACCAGGUAUUCUGCCAACCUGCGAGCACCAGAGACAGACUUGCUGUGGACUUCCCAUGAUGGAUGUGACAAGAGUAAAGCUCUCAAAUGCUCACAGACACAUCCCCACUCUGAGAUGGAAGUCUUCGGGAUUCCUUAGGAAUUUGUCUGUGGGAGGAGAAGAGAAGUCACAGAUUUAACACCAGGACUUGGCUGUCUUCCACUUAGAAGCCCAGUGGCGGUGAGAAGGUGCCAGGAGAGAGCUGAAGCUGCCCUCCACGCUGGGUGACAAAGUCCCUGUCAGCUGUUUGGCGUGGUCCCAGCCUUACUGUUCACGGGCCUACGGGUAGGAUGAGAAAUAUCAUGGGCUAUGGAAAGUCUUGCCUCUGAUCUCCAAUUUAGAGAAUUCCGGAAGGAAA